rnacentral:rRNA from 1 species
AUGCUGUCGUGGAAGUUCAGCCGGAAGGGCGCCACGGGCUUCUCCUGGGCCUCCACCGCCGACGAGGUCACCGCCGGCGUCACCGCCUCUGGCCUCACCGCAAUAGUCACCGGUGCGUCGAGCGGGAUCGGCGCGGAGACGGCGCGCGUGCUGGCCGCGCGCGGCGCCCACGUCGUCAUGGCCGUCCGCAACCUCGCCGCCGGCGACACCGUGCGCCAGGCCGUCCUCGCCGAGACCCCCGCCGCCAGCGUCGACCUCAUGGAGCUCGACGUCUCCUCCCUCGCCUCCGUCCGCAACUUCGCCGCCGACUUCGCCGCCAGGGGCCUCCCGCUCAACAUCCUCGUCAACAACGCGGGAAUAAUGGCGACCCCUUUCACCCUCUCAAAGGAUGGCAUCGAGAUGCAGUUUGCGACUAACCACGUCGGGCAUUUUCUUUUGACACAUCUUGUGCUGGACACCAUGAAGAAGACCUCUCGCGAAUCAAACGUGGAAGGAAGAAUCGUCAUUGUUGCCUCGGAGGGGCACAGGGUUACGUACAAGGAAGGCAUCCGUUUCGCCAAGAUAAAUGAUGAGCAAGGGUAUGGCACCCUUGCAGCAUAUGGGCAGUCCAAGCUUGCCAACAUUUUACACGCCGGUGAACUUGCCAGGAGAUUUAAGGAAGAGGGUGUUAACAUCACUGCCAACUCCCUGCAUCCUGGAUCCAUCCUCACAAACCUUCUUCGCAACCGCGGCAUCAUAUAUGCCUUUGCCUCUGUGUUUGCAGCCAUCGAGCGGACGCUUGGUAAACUGCUGCUCAAGAACAUCCAGCAGGGGGCUGCGACGCAGUGCUACUUGGCGCUGCACCCGGACGCCAAGGGGGUGUCGGGCAAGUACUGGUGCGACAGCAACCUGUACGAGCCGAGCGACAAGGCCAAGGACGCGGAGCUGGGGAAGAAGCUAUGGGACUACACCCUCGACCUCGUCGCCUGA